CAAUAGCGUAUAUUAAAGUUGUUGCAGUUAAAAAGCUCGUAGUUGGAUUUCUGGUCGGAAGCUCCUGUCCUCUGAUGAGCGUACAAGUGCGUCCUACCAUCCUUCUGUUAACCUUUAAGGCUUUCGCGGCUUUCUAGGGGCUCGGAUAUUUUACCUUGAGAAAAUUAGAGUGUUUCAGGCAGGCUAGCGCCGGAAUACAUUAGCAUGGAAUAAUGGAAUAGGACUUUUGCCUCUUCUGUUGGUCAUGAGGCUCGAGUAAUGAUUAAUAGGGAUAGUUGGGGGCAUUAGUACUUAACUGUCAGAGGUGAAAUUCUCGGAUUUGUUAAAGACUAACUUAUGCGAAAGCAUUUGCCAAGGAUGUUUUCAUUAA
rnacentral:rRNA from 1 species